rnacentral:rRNA from 1 species
GAUGAACGCUGGCGGCGUGCCUAAUACAUGCAAGUCGAGCGGACAGACGAGGAGCUUGCUCCUCUGACGUUAGCGGCGGACGGGUGAGUAACACGUGGAUAACCUACCUAUAAGACUGGUAUAACUUCGGGAAACCGGAGCUAAUACCGGAUAAUAUAUUGAACCGCAUGGUUCAAUAGUGAAAGACGGUUUUGCUGUCACUUAUAGAUGGAUCCGCGCCGCAUUAGCUAGUUGGUAAGGUAACGGCUUACCAAGGCGACGAUGCGUAGCCGACCUGAGAGGGUGAUCGGCCACACUGGAACUGAGACACGGUCCAGACUCCUACGGGAGGCAGCAGUAGGGAAUCUUCCGCAAUGGGCGAAAGCCUGACGGAGCAACGCCGCGUGAGUGAUGAAGGUCUUCGGAUCGUAAAACUCUGUUAUUAGGGAAGAACAAAUGUGUAAGUAACUAUGCACGUCUUGACGGUACCUAAUCAGAAAGCCACGGCUAACUACGUG